UAAGAGCACACCCGCAUCAUACCCAGCACUGCAGUAGUCGCGCACACAGCAGACCCAGCAGCAGUAGCAUCUUACCCUACUAGCCCCCCAGCUGAUCCGCCGAGCUAAACCUGCCUGCAGCAGACCACAGUCGGAAAAGACCCAGUGCAAAUGCCCAGUGCAAAUGCCUGCAGCAAGCCACAGCCGAAAAUGACCCAGUGUAAAUGCCCCCCAGCUGAUACGCCAAGCAAGACACAUACUGCAGACAACUCGAUCAUGUGGACAUGUCACUUUAUCUGGCUUUUGAUUAUGCUGAGUAUGAUCUCUAUGUGAGUUGUGAUACUGUUUUUUUUUAAUUUUUUUUUAUGUUUGAGUUCACGUAUGAUCCUAACAUUCUAGAUGGUUAAAUGUUAUUUAAGUUACAACUGAAAUAUAUAGUUCCACAUGCUGAUACCUUGUUACAGGCAAAUAUAUGCGAUUAAUCUAGGAUCAUAACUUUGUCAUUGUUGCUGUAAAUAAAAUUAUUAUUUCAAAGCAGGCAGCAAAGCCGAAACAGACCCAUAGUCUCUAGAAUCAGCACCAAUAACCAAACCAAGCCUUUCAAAGCAGCACCAACGAGCAAACCAGGAGCAACACCUGAAGCAAGCCCUCAAACUGCACUCAACUCAUAUAGAGAAACAAUAGCAGCAAAAACCUGUAGCAAUACCACAUAGUCCUUGCAUCUACAACCGAGCAUGGCAAGUUGCAAUAGAGAUGUAGUAGCAACAACGCGACAGCAGCAACCACGUAACAGCCCAUGCGAAGCAGUCUGCAACAGUUUUCAAGGCAUCGAAAGAAGUAUGACUGAGGUAAGAGCACACCCGCAUCAUACCCAGCACUGCAGUAGUCGCACACACAGCAGACCCAGCAGCAGUAGCAUCUUACCCUACUAGCCCCCCAGCUGAUCCGCCGAGCUAAAC
rnacentral:lncRNA from 1 species